rnacentral:rRNA from 1 species
GACGAACGCUGGCGGCGUGCUUAACACAUGCAAGUCGAACGGAAAGGCCCUGCUUUUGUGGGGUGCUCGAGUGGCGAACGGGUGAGUAACACGUGAGUAACCUGCCCUUGACUUUGGGAUAACUUCAGGAAACUGGGGCUAAUACCGGAUAGGAGCUCCUGCUGCAUGGUGGGGGUUGGAAAGUUUCGGCGGUUGGGGAUGGACUCGCGGCUUAUCAGCUUGUUGGUGGGGUAGUGGCUUACCAAGGCUUUGACGGGUGGCCGGCCUGAGAGGGUGACCGGCCACAUUGGGACUGAGAUACGGCCCAGACUCCUACGGGAGGCAGCGGCGGGGAAUAUUGCACAAUGGGCGGAAGCCUGAUGCAGCAACGCCGCGUGCGGGAUGACGGCCUUCGGGUUGUAAACCGCUUUCGCCUGUGACGAAGCGUGAGUGACGGUAAUGGGUAAAGAAGCACCGGCUAACUACGUG